GUCUUUUAAUUGAGGACUAGCAUGAAUGGUCAUACGAGAUAUUGACUUUCUUUAUUUUAUUAUAAUGAAAUUUAUUUUUUUGUGAAAAAGCUAAAAUAUAUUUAUUAGACGAUAAGACCCUAUAAAACUUUAUUACACUUUAGAAAUAAAUUUUGUAGAUUUUAUUUAUUUUAUUUUUAAAUUGAAAUUUUGUUGGGGAGACAGGUAAAUUUAAAUAGCUUUAUUAAUUUAUUUCAUUAAUUUAUGUAAGUUUUGAUCCGGUAUUUCCGAUUAGCAGAUUAAGUUACUUUAGGGAUAACAGCGUAAUCUUAUUGGAGAGUUCUUAUUGAUAAUAAGGUUUGCGACCUCUGGUUG
rnacentral:rRNA from 1 species